UUUGGCCUACGGGAGGCAGCAGUAGGGAAUCUUCCACAAUGGGCGAAAGCCUGAUGGAGCAACGCCGCGUGGGUGAAGAAGGUCUUCGGAUCGUAAAACCCUGUUGUUAGAGAAGAAAGUGCGUGAGAGUAACUGUUCACGUUUCGACGGUAUCUAACCAGAAAGCCACGGCUAACUACGUGCCAGCAGCCGCGGUAAUACGUAGGUGGCAAGCGUUAUCCGGAUUUAUUGGGCGUAAAGGGAACGCAGGCGGUCUUUUAAGUCUUAUGUGAAAGCCUUCGGCUUAACCGGAUAA
rnacentral:rRNA from 1 species